rnacentral:lncRNA from 1 species
AGAUGAAGAAGAGACAGGAGGCCCUCCAAGCAAAGGAACCACUCAUGUCAAGACAUGGGGCAAAAAGAGAGGAUGUAUUUGGAGAACAGAGAGUAACCGAAGGCUAUCAUUCAAUCAGUGAUAGUCUUCAUGGAGGUUAAUAUCAAAGGCAACCUGAAUUUCCUCAGACUUCAUGAGCUGGCGGUGAAGGGUGAGAUCACACAAGCAGUAAUAACCCAGCUCUCCCUGGCUCACUGCCUUACUUACUGGCCUUCUGGUACUCAGCAAAGCUGUCCCCAUGAGUUUGGGAGUCUCCAUUCCUGUCCUUCCACUCCCCUCAAACGUCUUUCAUUCAAGGUCACGUGGUAACUUGACUCCUCUCACCACUACUUCUGUGGGAAUGCAGAGGCCAGGCCAGAGCCUGUGGGUGCUGCCCUCCCCAGAGACUUCACUAUGCCCAGCUCCAGGGAGGACUGACUGGAGGAGGGGACCAGGCAUCUCCCCUGCACUCUGGGCCCACAGCAACCCUGUAUACCAGCCCGUAUUAACCUUGCAACGCCUUCCUCCAAAAGGCUGAGACUUCAACCACAGGACCUGGGUGGUGAUCACCACAAAAUUUCUUCCUGAACGUUCUUCUCCAACAACUUCUCACAUUCAGUUAUUCAUUCAACAAACAUUGAGCAACAACCUAAUCUUCUGGGCUCUGGAGACCGAGUUAAAAAGGAGACAGCAGGCCCCUGCCCCCGCUUCCCGACAGGUCACCACAUCUUGAGUGCUAAGACUGUCAUCACAGGGUGAGGAGGGGAAAUGAGCUCAGAGGGGCAGAACCUUCUGAAAGGGCAGAAUGGUUCAAGCAUCCCGCCAAGGUCAGAAGGCGCUGGAUCCAGGGCAAAAAUGAAGACAUAAGGGACCUUAGGUGACAAGGAAGAAGCUCCCAGGCAGCAUGUGGGAUGGACCCAAGGAGAACGUCAGAGAGAAAGAGUUCAGUCUGGUGUCUCCUGAAGCAGGUUAAAAUUAAGCUCGGCAGGCUCGACGUAAAUGUGCAGACAAAGCAAAGCAGGAAGCCUCCCACACUAAAAAGGGAAGAUAAGAAUCACAGAAGCUGGGAUGGUUUUUAUUGAAGGGCAUUUCAAAGCAAAUACAGACAUCUACAGCAUAUUUGUAAAUCCUCCGUAUGUGUAUGGAAACACACACCUUCACACAUCAAAACUGGAUUUGUUCCUGAGUAACAAAACGUCCUAAGAACAAAAUGAAAGAAAACCAAAUAGCAGAAAAAUACUUCCAAUGUAUAUACCACAAAGGAUUAUUUAUCAACUCAACACACCAAGAGUUAAGAAAAUAAUGCAACAGGAACAAAGGGCAAAGGAUAUGUACUGGGAAGACCACAGAGAAAGAAAAUGCAAAUGGCUAAUAAUAUAAAAUAUUUCCUAGGUUCAAUAGUAAUCAGGGAAAGACAAAAUUACACUUUUGACCUCUUAGACUGGCAGUGACAAAGAUUAUUUGAGUGACCAAGCUUUAGUCAGGCUCCUGGAUCUUCUAGGCCCAUCUGGGCACUUCCUCGUAAAAUACAGUUUUAACAAAAGCCCUGCUAAAUUGGUUUACCGAGAACUCCCACCCUCAAUCGAGUUCCUUAGCCCUUCACCUUUCCUCAGGUGAGGGCUGAUCAUCCUGUCCUGUCUUCAGCAAGACUGCUCUAACGCUGACGUUUCCUUUUAGUAAUUUUCCAUCCACUGACACCCACUUGUAAUUUAUAGCCAAGGAGCAAGAUACACUGCUCCUUGGCUAUAAGUUAUUUUCCCUGUUACAUUCAGAGUUGAGCCCAAUCCCACUCCCCGACUACAAAAUCGAUAGCAGUGGUCCCUAUACCUAUUGCAAUGGUCCUAAAUAAAACCUGCCUUACCGUGCUUGAACAA